GCCGGGAUGGCGGAAUGGCAGACGCGGUGGUCUCAAAAACCAUUGUCCUCACGGACGUGUGGGUUCGACUCCCACUCUCGGCA
rnacentral:tRNA from 1 species